GAUGAACGCUGGCGGCGUGCCUAAUACAUGCGAGUCGAGCGAACGGACGAGAAGCUUGCUCCUCUGACGUUAGCGGCGGACGGGUGAGUAACACGUGGAUAACCUACCUAUAAGACUGGGAUAACUUCGGGAAACCGGAGCUAAUACCGGGUAAUAUUUUGAACCGCAUGGUUCAAGAGUGAAAGACGGUCUUGCUGUCACUUAUAGAUGGAUCCGCGCUGCAUUAGCUAGUUGGUAAGGUAACGGCUUACCAAGGCAACGAUGCAUAGCCGACCUGAGAGGGUGACCGGCCACACUGGAACUGAGACACGGUCCAGACUCCUACGGGAGGCAGCAGUAGGGAAUCUUCCGCAAUGGGCGAAAGCCUGACGGAGCAACGCCGCGUGAGUGAUGAAGGUCUUCGGAUCGUAAAACUCUGUUAUUAGGGAAGAACAAAUGUGUAAGUAACUGUGCACAUCUUGACGGUACCUAAUCAGAAAGCCACGGCUAACUACGUG
rnacentral:rRNA from 1 species